CAUUCGUUGACUCUGUAACAUAAAUUACACUUCCACAUUUUGCUAUCUACAAAGUAGACAAACGGAUUUAUGUAGGUUCUGCAUAAGCGACAUCUCACAAUAUUUGGACACUGGAUAACAGGUUCUUAUUUAAACUUACAUUAACAUCACGAAAUGGAUGAAUAAGUAUACCAAGUGGCAGUCUUGACUUUUGAAGUAAUGAAUUACUUUCUGGUAUUUUAGUAACGGUACAUCGCAUUAUGCUGCAAAAAUGUUCAAGUUGAAUUAACGUUCUGUUUUUUUUAAUGAAUAAAUGAUUAUUUUGAAUGAAACUUA